rnacentral:rRNA from 1 species
AUGCAGAGAACAACAAGGGACCUAAAGAUUUGGGGCAGAUCUCUGUUCGGCAAAAUUAAGCUGCAAUUCCACAUAGCACACGAGGUGAUCCUGAGAUUGGAUAUUGCCCAGGAGAGGCGACAGUUAUCAACGGCUGAAUUCUCCCUAAGAAAACAACUCAAGAACAGAGUGUUGGGGCUGGCUGCGAUUGAGAGAGCGAGGAAAAGACAAGCCUCAAGAAUAACUUGGCUGCGAGCAGGCGACGCGAGCACAAAGUUUUUUCAUGCCAAAUACAAUGCCAGAAAAAGGAGAAACUACAUACACUCAAUCACAUCUCAGGAGGGAGGGGUGCUGACAGAUCAUGAGGACAAGGCUGAAGAAAUUAGGAAGCAAUGCACGGCCCUCCUAGGAUCGAAAGAGCAACGACAUCACACAAUCAAUUGGACUGCAUUGCAAAUGCCAAGGAUCGAGGUUGGAGGCCUGGAUAAUCCUUUCUCUGAAGAUGAAGUUUGGAAAGCGGUUGUGGCUUCUCCGGCAGAAAAAGCACCAGGACCG